rnacentral:rRNA from 1 species
UACGGGGGGAGCAAGCGUUGUUCGGAUUUACUGGGCGUAAAGGGCGCGUAGGCGGUCAGCACAAGUCAGUUGUGAAAUCUCCGGGCUUAACUCGGAAAGGUCAACUGAUACUGUGCGACUAGAGUGCGGAAGGGGCAACUGGAAUUCUCGGUGUAGCGGUGAAAUGCGUAGAUAUCGAGAGGAACACCUGCGGCGAAGGCGGGUUGCUGGGCCGACACUGACGCUGAUGCGCGAAAGCCAGGGAGCAAACGGG